rnacentral:lncRNA from 13 species
GGUCUCCUUCAGGGCAGUAACUUUGUAUGGUCUCCUUCAGGGCAGUAACUCUGUAUGGUCUCCUUCAGGGCAGUAACUCUGUCUCGUCUCCUUCAGGGUAGUAACUCUGUCUGGUCUCCUUCAGGGUAGUAACAAUGUCUGGUCUCCUUCAGGGAAGUAACUCUGUAUGGUCUCCUUCAGGGCAGUAACUCUGUAUGGUCUCCUUCAGGGCAGUAACUCUGUCUCUCCUCCCUCAGGGCAGUAACUCUGUAUGGUCUCCUUCAGGGCAGUAACUCUGUCUGGUCUCCUUCAGGG